UUGAGAAUGUUGCCUGUCUGAGCCCUGAGAUGAGCUGAGGGUUCCUCCUCCCCAGCCAGCACCAGCCUCACACAGCCCUUGUAAAUCUGAAAGUGCUGUUGGUAGCAACCAGGGAUGGGCAGAGGCAGCCCUGUCCUGAGGGUGACAUGAAAGUGAGAGCAAGCUGAAGCUCCAGUUGGCUUAGUCUUCAAAAGUGUCACUUUCAGAUUAUAUCCCUCAGCUUUAAAAUAUCCUUCUUUGAAGUCCAUCCUGCUCUGCCCACUAUUUGUCCCCGGUGGUCACUUCCUCCUCUGUGCUCCCGUGGCCUGGGAUUCACACCAGGAAAGAACGCCACGAAGAAGGAAUGACAAGAAAAUGGAGGCAAAGAACAUUGGAGUCACUCCCUGGCUACACACACUGAGGUGAUAACCAAGGUGCUCAAAAAGGGCCGGUGUGCCGCAGUGAGUGCCAGUUUGAAUGAAGGAAGCAUGCGUGGCCUGAAGCCUCACCGUGUUCCAGGCGUCCAGUUAAGUGCUCUGCACAUAAUAUCACACAUUGCGCUCCACGAUAAGGGUCUGGAAAGCAAUCCUCCACAGAAAGAAAGCAGAAUCUUCUGGGCAUUUCUGAGCAAGUGGACUUCCUUCAGCUGAGCACAGUCCUCAGGAGAAGCGGACAGGUGCAAAGUGUUGGAAGCCAACACUCACAGCAGUUGGGGGUUGGAGUGCUCUGGCUUCCAACAGCAUUGAAACCAACAGCAUUGACUACAG
rnacentral:lncRNA from 1 species